AACCGCACACAAAUAACAGACCAACAAAAAACGAAACAUUUUAUCUACAUGAAUGAACACCGGAGAAUAGUUCGUCUCUGUCGUUUUCGCGGUGCGGUGCAACAAAUGCAUCUACUUUAAAAUUUAAUUAUUUUUUAUCGUUGCACCGAUAGACAUCGCUCGCAUCUUCCAUUCUUCAUUCGAUAAUAAUAGUAAUUAAAUUAUCGCAUCGCAUGGAGGCAAAAAAUUUCAUCAUUUCUUUGAUGGUCAUUUUGAUAGUUUUCACUAAAUUGAGUGUCAAGGCGGAUCAGUGGUCUCCUUACCCUCGAUAUCACAAUGGCAUGUGCGACGAAUAUGAAAGCUGCAUUGGAAAAGGAUACACGUGUCGAUGUCCCGCCGGAAGUUAUUGUUACCAACAAACGGAUUCAUUUUAUGGGCGUCGAUCAUGGUGUCGUCAAAGAUUCGGAUGAAAAUUAUUCAGAAAAUUACUUGGAAAAACAUUGAAACGACUUCUCCAGAGUGACAGUUGAAUAAAAACGCAAAUUAAUAGAUUUUAAACAUUUCCCAAUUUCCGAAGAAGACGACGACGAAGUAGUAAAAACAACCAAAUUUUUAAGAAGAAGCAGAAAAUUGUUUAAUUUUUUGUUUUUUUUUUAUGAAAGACACAUUUUUAAUAUACAUGGAAACAAAAUUCUGCUCUAUAUAACAUAUUUAUAUAUAAUAUUAAUAAUAAUUAAUAUUUAUGUAGGAUAAAAAUACGACGACAAUACGACGAUGAAGGAUCAAUAAGCACUUUUUGGUAAU